rnacentral:lncRNA from 1 species
CUUUUCUAAAAUUUAAAAAGAAAUUUGACUCGAAUUACAUUUUUACUAAUGUAGGUUUUAUUAAAAAAAAUUUAGGCUUAAAAUUUGUAUAAUUUCUUUGAAUUUUGGUGGUAUAGUCACCAAAUUUGACCCUCAUUUUUGAGAAAAGUUGACUUCAUUAUCAUUUGCAAGAUUAGUUUUUGGUGCUUGUAGCACAAUGGUUGUCCAACAAAGGGCAUGUACUGGUAGGUAUUGUGGUUUCAAAUGUGUUCUCCUUUAGUACUCCAGAGGAAAUUUGCUUUGUCCAAAAGGUGUUUGUAUUAUGGGGGAUAUUUAAAUUGUCACUUUAAAUGUUUUUAUUGCAAUUGCCUCAAACCAAAAGUUUGGCAGAAAUGGUUCUAAGCUAGCUAAUCUAAAUUGGUAGUAUCAGUUGUUCACAGUGAUUCAGCACAGAACAUAAAAUUGCAGAUUUCAGAUUUUAUUAAGAAGUAAAUGAAAAACAUGGCAUCACGAGUGAUGUGGCGUAAGUGGUGCCCCAAAGCAUGUGCAUUCACAUGGACUCACACCCCAGAACUAAACUAGAAUUCAAGAUCUGAACAGAGCAGCGUAAAAUCAGUGGGGCCUGAUAAUGGACUAAGGUUAUCGGGAAGGAGCUCUUUUACCUAAAUGUAAAGAGUGCUCUGGGCCCUCUAACCCAGACCAGUUCAGUAUGUUUUCACUGGUGGUUAAGAGAAGCAUCCACUCUGGUUCCUCUAAGCCUGCCUAUCAUUCUUCUAUAGCAUUUGACUGCUAUAUGCCUUCCACUAAUGCUCCCCUCCACUAGCCUCUCGGUCCUUGGGUGUGUUGGGCAAAUUUAGAAAUUUAUAAGUUCACUGUAGCACAUGCUUCCUGUACAAACACACUUAACACCACCUGAAAGAAUUAUAGGAAGAUAUGAAUGAAGACCAUGUUUUAUUAGAUAAUUAUGAGUUGUUUGGUAUGACAAGAAAUGAUUCUCUAGUAUUUAAAAAUCUUAAUAUCUGUUUAUUAUGUGCAGGAAAGCUAAAGAUGUUAUGGUUUCACUGGAAAAUAUCUGCAACUUGUGAUGAGAAAGUGGUUGGAUAAUAGAUACUUUAUGAGCUAUUUAGGGACUUUAAUACUUGAUCUUGAUAUUAUCUAUUCAGUAGUUCCACCAGCAAAUAAAUGAAUUGUUUAAGAUAUUUUGCAAAAGCAUAACACCAAUGAUCUUUGCUUUUCCAAAUUUCUUUGAUAAUAACAAGAGUGUGUAAGUGGAGAGAGCAUUAUGGAGAUGAGUGAAAAAUCAAAGGCAGCUAUAAUAAAAGAAUGAUUUGCAAUGAAAAUGUUUACAUUUCACUUUGAGCAAUGGACAUAUCCUGAUAUAAGGCCCUAAGAUUAGGACCAAGGGCAAUGAAAAAGACUAUUUCCAUAUUGAAAAAUAAAUUUCUUUGCAUAAAGGAAUACCUCUGGCUGAAAACUCGUUAACCAUUGGCUGUGUAAUGUUUCCUUUGUACCUCUGUGUAAUCUUAUAAUUAAAUGAGGUGAAGGUUAUUUGUUACUUCCUGGUAAAUGAAACCUAAAACAUAAGCAAAUAAAAUAUUGUGUGUAUUUUUUUUCCCUCUCUUGCCUGAUUGUUGAAAUAUUGUAUAAUUAUGUCUAUAUUUUAAGGGCUUUUAUGUAAGCAUAGAAGACACUAGAUUUUUAGUGAUUGCUACCAAUAAAUAUAUGAGAAUGUUUUAAAAUUUUUUAAUCAAAAGUUUUUAAUAUAAA